UACGUAGGGUGCGAGCGUUGUCCGGAAUUAUUGGGCGUAAAGGGCUCGUAGGCGGUUUGUCGCGUCGGGAGUGAAAUCCACUGGCUUAACUGGUGGCUUGCUUUCGAUACGGGCAGACUGGAGGUAUGCAGGGGAGAUCGGAAUUCCUGGUGUAGCGGUGAAAUGCGCAGAUAUCAGGAGGAACACCGGUGGCGAAGGCGGAUCUCUGGGCCUGUCCUGACGCUGAGGCGCGAAAGCUAGGGGAGCGAACAGG
rnacentral:rRNA from 1 species